GCGCCCGUAGCUCAGCUGGAUAGAGUACCUGGCUACGAACCAGGCGGUCAGAGGUUCGAAUCCUCUCGGGCGCG
rfam:Aeromonas sp. RT39B genome assembly, contig: Ga0136726_103